rnacentral:ncRNA from 1 species
GUUUGGGGGUGGUAGGUCGCAAGAUUUACUGCUCACUGAAUGAAGCACCAAUGAACGUCGGCGAUAACUAUAAACAAUGACGAUUGUAGUUAUAAAAUUUCGCUAUAUGCUGGAAACUCUGCAAGUAUCCUAAAAUACUUUUAGUCCCGUGGUUCGGACUACAGGACUGAGUAAUAAUUUUUAGGCGACGCAGACAAUCAGCAGGCAACCUCAAUAAUAUUGAGAGAGUCCUCAGAGACUACACGCGAAAAUCGCUAAAAAAAGCGAUAUGAUAUAGUCCGAUCUUUAUGGCGACAUAAAGGCUGUCCCGAUAAAAAUAUCGCGGACUAAUAAAAAGAUGAAUCGUCCAAAGGUAUUACAAAAUGCUUUUGUAAAACUUGGCUAUAUGCUGGAAACUCCGUAGUAUCCGACAAUACUCCGCUCGUAGUGGAGUGAAAAUUUGUUCGGUGCGGACAAUCAGCAGGGAAGAACCAGCUUGGUUCCCCUCAACGACUAUACGCCAGGCUCCAAAUAUAAUUGGAGAAGAUAUAGUCUGAACUGCAUGGCAACAUGCAGAAUGCAGCAGAAAUGACUGCACCGGUGUUAAAAAUGACUUAUUUAACACUAAGUAACAAAAUUGAGCGUAAUCCCUUGCCGGGUAAGUUCCGGCCCGCAUGAAUGGCUUAACGAGUUGAAGACUGUCUCAACGAGGCGCCCGGUGAAAAUGCAAUAACAGUGAAGAUGCUGUUUACCUGCGGCUAGACGGAAAGACCCCGGAAGCUUUACUGUAGUUAGAUAUUGUGUAUUGAUUUUUAAUGCGUAGCGUAGUGGGUAGGAUUUGAAGCGGGAAUUUCGGUUCUCGUGGAUCCGAAAGUGAAACACCCAUCUUUAGAAAUUAAUAUUCUAAUCCACUUCACUGUGGUGACAGUGUUUAAUGGGCAGUUUAAGUGGGGCACUUGCCUCCUAAAAAGUAAUGGAGGCGUUUAAAGGUUGGUUAGCUUCGGAUGGAAAUCGAAGCGAUAGGGCAAAGCCAUAAACCAGCUUUACUGCAAGACGGCUAUGUCGCGCAGUUGCGAAAGCAGAACUUAGUGAACCGACGUGUUUUUAUAGAAAACACGAAGAUCAUCAGCCAAAAGCUACUCCGGGGAUAACAGGCUAGUAGAGCCCGAGAGUCCAUAUCGACGGCUCUGUUCGGCACCUCGAUGUCGGCUCAACUUAUCCUGGGGCUGGAGCAGAAUUUUUUCUACUCUCCUCUGCGGAAACGCAGGGGUAAUAUACAAGCUCAAAACGGGGAAAGCCUUAAUAGACUUGCAAGUUUGCAGGUCCCAGAUUAUAAUGAAUAAUAAUUAAGGGUAAUCCCGUGAGAAAAAUAUUCUCUGAAGUUAACAAGGCGUACAUUUCCGGUCUUUUAGAUGGAGAUGGAGCAAUCAUGGCCUGCAUUGAAAAACAUGCAGAGAAAAAGUUUGGUUUUAGAAUCAGAAUUUGCAUCAAAAUUAGUCAAAAUAACCUAAAAAUUCUCAAUUGGUGUAAAUCUGUAACUGGUUUAGGAAAUGUCCGUUUCGUAAAAAAGGAAGAAUACGAAUGGAUAACACGAAAUCAGGAAGACGCUAAAAAAUUACUUGAAUUUUUAAUUCCGUAUUUACGGAUUAAGAAAAAACAAGCAAAUUUGGCAGGAAAAAUAUUAAAUUCUAAAAUUACGACUGCCAAAAAAUUGUUGAAAAUCGCUAAGUUAGCAGAUGCAUUGUCAAAAUUAAAUGUUCGCUCGAGAGGGCGGAGGAAAAAUUUUGCAUCAAUGAUCCAAGGAAGUAUUUCUCCUAACGACUGAUUCUUACUUCGUAAGUAAGAUGAGAUAGGCCUGAAAUAUGGUCUAUAACACGGCUUGCACCUAAAACUUUAGUUGGUGACAAUUAAAGCACGGUGAAGGUAUAGUCUUACCCCAUUAGUAAUAAUGGAAGGUCCGAGGUCCCAAGGGUCCGGCUGUUCGCCGGUUAAAAAGUUACGUGAGCUGGGUUCAAACCGUCGUGAGACAGGUUGGUCCCUAUCUACCGCAGGCGUUGAGUUUUGAGGAGAUUUGUUCCUAGUACGAGAGGACCGGAAUGAACUGACCUCUGGUGUACCAGUUGUUCUGCCAAGAGCAUCGCUGGGUAGCUAAGUCGGGAAUAGAUAAGCGCUGAAAGCAUAUAAGCGCGAAACUAACUCCAAGAUGAGAACUCUUAGAUUUCCCGCAGACUACGGGAUUGAUAGGCUCCAGGUGUAAGCGCCGUAAGGCGUUCAGCCGGGGAGUACUAAUAAAUCAUUUUAUCCUUCGAU